AGUGAUAACCUGCGCUUCUUCACCAUGUGAACACGGUACCUGCACUGAUUCACCUGUGGGAUUCGUUUGUACUUGUAACAGUUCCUACACGGGGAUUAAAUGUGAGACAGUGUUGGCAACAGACGAGGAAUCGGAACAUCUUCCGGACUGGUUUCCAUAUUUAGAAUAUGUAUUGAUAGCAUCAGCUUCACUCAUUGCUCUGGGGGUUUUGGGCUGCGUAUGUUUGAAGUGUUUUCCGAUGUUUUGUGUCAAAAAAGAUGAUGAUGACAAUGAAGAUGACAACUUGCGAAGGCGCAGCAUGAAUUGUAUUUCUCCACUGGAUCGUUAGGAUUCCAUUUCUCCACAGGACCAUCCGAAACCUACGUUAUUUAUUACACACAUCUGAACAGAACUCUGACCUCAAUAUAUGAAAAGGACGAGCCAAUUUUUUUUUUCAUUAAUCUAAUAACAUUUUCCAGACAUUACAAUGAAAACAUUCUUACUUAUAAAAUCAUGUAUCUGAAUAGCAUUUUUACGGACUGCAUAUUGAAUAUUUCAGUAGUAUUGCUUCAUGCGUUUCAUUACUUCUAUUAAAAAAAAACAAAUUCAAUGUUAAAACCGUUUCUUGUGUAGUGAGUGAUUCUUUAAACAUCCAUUACAUGCUUUACUUUUGUAUUUACUCCUGUAUUUUACUUUUAGUUGUGUGACUUCCUUUGCAUUAAAAAGCAUUGUAUAUCAA